rnacentral:rRNA from 1 species
CGUAUACUAAAGUUGUUGCAGUUAAAAAGCUCGUAGUUGGAUUUGUGGCGUACGGUGUGUUCCGGGCACUUGUUGUCUGAGUAACCUGCUGUUGCCAUCCUUGGGUGGAACCUGUGUGGCAUUAGGUUGUCGUGCAGGGGAUGCCCAUCUUUUACUGUGAAAAAAUUAGAGUGUUCAAAGCAGGCUUAUGCCGUUGAAUAUAUUAGCAUGGAAUAAUGAGAUAGGACUUUUUUACUAUUUUGUUGGUUUGCGUAAAGAGGUAAUGAUUAAUAGGGACAGUUGGGGG